GAUUUUGAUUGAUAUAUUCAUCUUAUGAAGUUCUAAUUAGAUUGAUAUUUUUUCUUCUUUUUUAAACUGAUUCGAAUUUGAUAAAUUUAAAUCUUCUGUUGGUGUUAUGAGAUUAGGGUGUUUAGAAUUUUGGAAUUUGAUAUAAAUUCAAAUUCGAAUUUAAUUUAAUCAUCCGAUUCACCAGAAUCAAGACUUUUUAAAUAUUUGUUGAUUUCAAAUGUUGAUAAGAUCCCUAAAUCCACAAUCUGAAUUUUUCAUGUAGGUGUUUGUUUAGUACCUAGUUUUUGUAGCUCUAUGAUUCAUUUGCGACAUGAAAAUACAAUAGAUGAAGCCUGAGGGAGUUCUUUGCUCAGUGUUUUUACUGUUGAGUGGCUAAUCUAUGUGGUCAUAUGUACAGACGACUCGUAGUAAACUAACCUAGAUUUUCUUGUCUUUGUCCUCCUAAUGUUUCUUGUUCAAGCUUCAAUAUUUGUUGGAUAAAGUUAUUGUCUACAGGUUCUGUCCAUUGUUGCGUCAUUUGUGUGCCCUAGGGUAUGAAGUCCAUAUUCAUUACAAGGUUGGUAGACGUACCUAUAGAUGAAUGCACCAGGGAGCAAAAUAGAGGAACAAGGCUAAAGAAGAUACUAAGGAGUUAAAUUGAACUCCAGCAGAAUUUAUUCAACUAUUGUUUGUGAUUUAAAUUGUUUUUCCAGAACCUAGUAAUCCAUUUUGUAUGUCAAUUCAUCAGUUUUUGUUUUUAGUAGUUGUUUCUUUGCUCUGCUUUGUAGUGAAUCAUGGAUGACAAACUCCUGGUCUCCAAGUAACAACACUCUCGUCUUUAGGUGCUAGAUGCUUUGUGAUACAUGCCAGAUGAGCAGAGGAACCCAUUUCAGGUUGCCCAUAUUCCUGGUUCCCUUUUCUUUGACGUGGGUGGUAUUUCAGACCGAAACUCAAAUCAUGGCUGAAACUUUUGCAAAUAUGAUAUUAUUGGCUGAGUAGCUCAUCCAGCACACUCACCCGGCUUUACUUUUCACAGUGGUGAGCUCUUGGCAUUGAGAACAAUUAUUGCUAGGUUCGUAGUGCCCCCUGGGAUUAAGGAUUGGAAACAAGUUUUCAAGAAUAUGAAGGAAUAAAUAUGGAAUCGUAUUCGAGUGUUUGGACGUGAAGGAAAGGGCCGUGUAAUGGGAUGGGCGGCGAGGUAUCAAAGACAGAAAUACUUGCUUAUGCAGGUUGUAGGGAACAACUACGUAUGGAAAAUUGAAAAAUCAAGGUCUUCGAGCUAUAAGCUGAAUACUUAAUGUUUUUGAGGUAGGAAGGAAGGAGGACAAUACUGCUCAACCCUCCACUUCUUCUCCACAGCAGAAUCUAGUAACUGGAUCCAUAUCGAGGAAUUCAAAGAAGACAACAGUCGCACUUUGAAGUGUUAAUUUUAGAACAGCUCCGAACGAUGAAAAUUAUGAACAUGAAAUUAUAAUUAUAAAUAUGGAGAUGGAGCACUUGGAGAUAUUGAUCUUGGUGAGACGAUUGAAUGGUGAAAGGAAUACGUGACUAGUGCACUUGGAUGUUCAAUCACACUUCUUUCUUUUUUUCCCCUUAGUUGUUUUGAACAUGAAGUUGUUGAAUUUAGAGUUGUUUUGGUUGUUAAGUUGUUAACUGAAUUCAAAGUUAAUGGAAUAAGUUUCAUUUUCUUAC